rnacentral:rRNA from 1 species
UACAGAGGGUGCGAGCGUUAAUCGGAAUUACUGGGCGUAAAGCGUGCGUAGACGGUUAUUUAAGUCGGACGUGAAAUCCCCAGGCUCAACCUGGGAACUGCGUCCGAUACUGGAUGGCUUGAAUCCGGGAGAGGGAUGCAGAAUUCCAGGUGUAGCGGUGAAAUGCGUAGAUAUCAGGAGGAACACCGAUGGCGAAGGCAGGUCACUGGGCCGCAACUGACGCUGAGGAGCGAAAGCAUGGGGAGCGAACAGG